AUGGUCGGUGGCUAUGGUGGUCGGAGGCUGACCUUGGCUCCGGCAGCCAGCUCGGCGAGUUGGCCACAGCCGGUGAUGACGAGGGAGCCUCUAGUUGGUUUGAGGGAUGAGUUGCAAAGGGAGAAGAAGGUAGAGGAGGAAGAAGAAGUAUGCCUGCCAAUAAUGCCGUCACAGGUGAACCUCGCGUGUGACUUGGAAUUGUGUCCUAAGGACAGUUUUUCCGCACCAACAAAACACUUCGCUAGUGAGACCAGAGGUGAAACUAGGCCUAGGGCUAUUGGUUCACGUUUUUGGGUGCUCGAUGGAGAAGAUAGUGAGGAGGAAGAAGAGCAGGUUUGUCACCGAGAAGAGGAGGUGGUAGGAUCAGUUCAAAAAGGAAGCAUCGUACGCAAGGCUAUGGCAGAAGGUUUCACGCUUGAUGAAAUUCUUUCAGCGGGAGAGUAUUUGUUGUGUACAAAUUCAUCUCCAAAGGCUCAUUCGUUUCCAGGGAGCACAAGGACGAAGGGGAAGAACCAUCUUGUAGAUAGAUUGGUGGCUGCGGUUUGCAGGAAGAAGGUUUCGAUGUGUAAACCCUGGAAAGGACCUCUGCCGUCACGGCGGAUCUCGCAACCCAGGAAGCUUGAAACCUUCCUCUCAGCAGCGCUUGAGGAUUGGCAGAGGAAGAGGACGGCAGGGUUAGAAAAAACGCCGGCGAAGUUCUCAAAAAGAGAGGAUGUUAAUGCAUCUACUUUCUCGGGGAACCUCGAUAAGGCAAUGUUGGGCCGACUCCUCUCGCACGCGGGCCGCCAUUCUUUGGCUCGGAAGGAACGUAACAAGGGGGAGAUUGAGCGACCGAGGCGGCAGUCGCAGCUAGGGCUAAACAUUCGCAAUAGAGAGGGGAGGCAAAGAGGCAGCGAAGAAGGGGGUCUGUGUGUAGGUGGCGAGCUGCAGGUUAGAGCCGAAGAGGAGAAGGAGGUUCGGAAGGGAGGGAUGGCAAGGAGGAAAGAUGAUUACGAUGGGUGCAGCAACAAAGAUUGGGGGCAAAGAGGUAGCUUCAGGGAGGAGGAGGAAGGUUUUGGAACAGGCUUUCAGGGAAGUCGCAUGGGGUUUGAUCCGGGCUAUGGUUUUGGGCAGCAGGGUAGCUUCGGUCAAAGGUGGCAGAGGCAUGGUUACCGCCCGAGACGGGCUCGUGGCUUUGGCCCAAGGUGCGGCGGUUUUGCAGGAAGACCAGGGAGAGGGUCAGCAAGAGGAUUCGGGUCACAACGUCCAGCUUUUGAGAGGAAAAUGGAUGAUAUGGGAAGAAAGGGAGAGGAGAAGGGGGGAGCUGCUAGCUCGGAGAGGAAUGGUGGUGCAGGCCGGGUGAAAGUGGGGGAGGUGGAGGUCCUGGUGCUGGCAAGAAAGGAGAAGCAACCAAUGGUUGAGAAGAAAGAAGAAAAUGGGGACUUUGUGGAGAUGGAGUGUGAUCCAUCUUUGUUUGAGGAUCAGCAACUAGGGGUAGAGAAAGGGAAAGACCAUGUGAACCAUCGCUGCCCUGUUUUGAAGCUUCCUAAGCCAGCGGUUCAAGUGGUAGGUUACUCGGUAGAGGGACUUGGUUUCCACCACAUACCACACAACCCGCUGCCAAGGAGUAAGAAGGGGACUACUAAGAUGGCGUUGGUAUCAUGUGUAGGAGGUGUUUUGACUAAGGAGCAAGUGGUGGAGGAACAACAAAGAAUUCCAACGGAGAAAGAUGAUAACUCUUUUGUUGUUCUUUUUCCAUCGAAAGUUGAACUUCAACGAGCAAUUGCAUUUGGAGGGGCUGAUGUGAAGGACAAUGGGGAAAAGGAGACCAAGAGGUCGAAGAGUGAUGAUAUGGUGUUAGAUGACAAAGAGGAGGGGAAGAUGGAGGGAAAUUUCAGUGGUGACAAUGGGAACCAAGGUAUGGAUGGGGUGCAGGAAAAGUUUUUCCGAGAAAUGGCUUCGAAAAUCAUUGAUGGGGCUGUUGUAAGUCUCUUGGAGGAGGGGCAGCCGGCUAUGCAUGAAGGGGAAAUAGGACAGCGGGAGGUUGAAGGUGUGGAUGAUAUUGAGCAGGGUGAUGGAGAGGAAGAGGUGGGCAAGAUGAUAGAGGAGAAAAUAGUGCGGGCUGCAAUGGUUAAAGAGGUGGCGACUACACCAACUCGGGCUAGUGUAAGGCUAGCCUCAAGUGAAGGAGAACACUCGGUGAAAAAGGCUACAAAGAGAAAGGCACGAAAGAACCUGGAGCCGCAGUCA
rnacentral:lncRNA from 1 species